UAUGAAGCUAUCACUAGUUAAAGCGCGC
rnacentral:sRNA from 1 species